CCCGCUGAACUUAAGCAUAUCAAUAAGCGGAGGAAAAGAAACUAACAAGGAUUCCCCUAGUAACUGCGAGUGAAGCGGGAAAAGCUCAAAUUUAAAAUCUGGCAGUCUUUGGCUGUCCGAGUUGUAAUCUAUAGAAGUGUUAUCCGCGCUGGACCAUGUACAAGUCUCCUGGAAUGGAGCGUCAUAGAGGGUGAGAAUCCCGUCUUUGACAUGGACUACCAGGGCUUUUGUGAUGCGCUCUCAAAGAGUCGAGUUGUUUGGGAAUGCAGCUCAAAAUGGGUGGUAAAUUCCAUCUAAAGCUAAAUAUUGGCGAGAGACCGAUAGCGAACAAGUACCGUGAGGGAAAGAUGAAAAGAACUUUGGAAAGAGAGUUAAACAGUACGUGAAAUUGCUGAAAGGGAAACGCUUGAAGUCAGUCGCGUUGUCCAGGGAUCAACCUUGCUUUUGCUUGGUGCACUUUCUGGUUGACGGGUCAGCAUCAAUUUUGACUGUUGGAAAAAGAUAAGGGGAAUGUGGCACCUUUGGGUGUGUUAUAGCUCUCUGUCGGAUGCAGUGGUUGGGACUGAGGAAAGCAGCAUGCCGCAAGGCCGGGUCGUUUCGACCACGUUCAUGCUGAGGAUGUUGGCAUAAUGGCUUUAAUCGACCCGUCUUGAAACACGG
rnacentral:rRNA from 1 species